rnacentral:rRNA from 1 species
UCCAGACUCCUACGGGAGGCAGCAGUGGGGAAUAUUGCACAAUGGGGGGAACCCUGAUGCAGCGACGCCGCGUGAGUGAAGAAGUAUUUCGGUACGUAAAGCUCUAUCAGCAGGGAAGAAAAAAGGACGGUACCUGAGUAAGAAGCCCCGGCUAACUACGUGCCAGCAGCCGCGGUAAUACGUAGGGGGCAAGCGUUACCCGGAUUUACUGGGUGUAAAGGGAGCGUAGACGGCAGUGCAAGUCUGAAGUGAAAGCCCCGGGCUUAACCCGGGAACUGCUUUGGAAACUGUACGGCUGGAGUGCUGGAGAGGUAAGCGGAAUUCCUAGUGUAGCGGUGAAAUGCGUAGAUAUUAGGAGGAACACCAGUGGCGAAGGCGGCUUACUGGACAGUAACUGACGUUGAGGCUCGAAAGCGUGGGGAGCAAACAGGAUUAGAUACCCCUGUAGC